GCAGCAGUGGUUCAGUGGUAGAAUUCUCACCUUCCAUGUGGAGACCUGGGUUCGAUUCCGAGCCACUGCA
rnacentral:tRNA from 1 species